AUUGAACGCUGGCGGAAUGCUUUACACAUGCAAGUCGAACGGUAACGGGCCUUCGGGUGCCGACGAGUGGCGAACGGGUGAGUAAUGCAUCGGAACGUACCUUUCAGUGGGGGAUAACGUAGCGAAAGUUACGCUAAUACCGCAUAUUCUGUGAGCAGGAAAGCAGGGGAUCGCAAGACCUUGCGCUGAUUGAGCGGCCGAUGUCAGAUUAGCUAGUUGGUGAGGUAAAGGCUCACCAAGGCGACGAUCUGUAGCGGGUCUGAGAGGAUGAUCCGCCACACUGGAACUGAGACACGGUCCAGACUCCUACGGGAGGCAGCAGUGGGGAAUUUUGGACAAUGGGGGCAACCCUGAUCCAGCCAUGCCGCGUGAGUGAAGAAGG
rnacentral:rRNA from 1 species